UACAGAGGUCUCAAGCGUUGUUCGGAUUCACUGGGCUUAAAGGGCGCGUAGGCGGGCGGUCAAGUCAGGGGUGAAAUCUUUCGGCUCAACCGGAAAAGUGCCUUUGAUACUGGCCGUCUCGAGGGAGGUAGGGGCAUGCGGAACUUCCGGUGGAGCGGUGAAAUGCGUAGAUAUCGGAAGGAACGCCGGUGGCGAAAGCGGCGUGCUAGACCUCUUCUGACGCUGAGGCGCGAAAGCCAGGGGAGCAAACGGG
rnacentral:rRNA from 1 species